UACGAAGGUGGCAAGCGUUGUUCGGAUUUACUGGGCGUACAGGGAGCGUAGGCGGUUGGAUAAGCCCUCCGUGAAAUCUCCAGGCUUGACCUGGAAAGUGCAGAGGGGACUGUUCAGCUAGAGGAUGGGAGAGGAGCGCGGAAUUCCCGGUGUAGCGGUGAAAUGCGUAGAGAUCGGGAGGAAGGCCGGUGGCGAAGGCGGCGCUCUGGAACAUUUCUGACGCUGAGGCUCGAAAGCGUGGGGAGCAAACAGG
rnacentral:rRNA from 1 species